rnacentral:SRP_RNA from 1 species
GGGGAUUUUCUUUAAAAGAAUUUGAUCCUCCCAUCUCAGCCUCCCGAGCUGGGACUACAGGCAUGCGCCACCGCACUGUAGUGUGCUAUGCCAAUCAGGUGUCUGCCCUACGGUGGCCAUCAAUAUGGUGAUGUCCCGGGAGCAGGGGCUACCAGCUUGUCUAAGGAGGGGUGAACUAGCCCAGGUUGGAAAUGGAGCAGGUCAAAGCUCCCGUGCUGAUCAGUGGUGGGAUCGAGCCUGUGAAUAGCCACUGCUCUCUAGCCUGGGCAACAUAGUGAGACCCUGUCU